rnacentral:ncRNA from 1 species
GCGAUCGGAAAACGAAUGAGAUUAGAAUGGCAAUGACAAUGGGAAGCAAGGCUGUAAGGUGGAGUGAAUCCGGAAAGAUUGCCUCAGUUCGAAUUGUUCUCUGAAACUUGGGAACAUGAAGUUGAAAUCACUAGUAAUCGUGCUGAUAAGGUAA